rnacentral:lncRNA from 1 species
CAGCCAUAUGGAAACAUAACAGUCGUCAUCCUAUGGCUCUUUUCUGCCACCGGUUGCCAGUCAGUACUCCCUGACCCCAACUUGACCUCAUUCCUCCUAACUUAAAGCACACGGCAUUGUUCAGGUUGGGAUUACAUACAACAUAACAAAAUAUAUCUUGACUUUAAACUUUCAUGUAAGCGCUGGUUGGCAAGCACUGGUUUGUAAUCUCUGUGCCUAUCUUGUUCAUACAUUCUUUCUACGCACCGAGCAGAGUAGAGAAACUGUUUUGAAAGAUAACUGAAUUUUAAAGGCAAUAACUGGAUUCCCACAAGGCCCAACUCUAUGAAUGGAGUGCUUUUAUUUAUUUAUUUUUUUCUUGAUGUGGGGGUGCUGGUAGAGAUAUCUACAUUCCACUCAAACAGUUUCUUAAUGGUUCGUUUCCCGUUUCUGCCCUUUCUGUUUCAGGUCACGAAAGCUGGCAGGAGAAGAAGAAAACAGAACAAGCACUAGCAGCGUUAUCCUUCCCUCCACCACAGAGGGAAGGAAGGGAAGCAGAGCGCAAUGAGGAAAAAGACAAGAGUGAUGAAAGAGAGGUCCAGACACGAAGGAGGCACGCACGCUCAGACACACACACAUACAACGGCACCUAGAGUCUGUCUGCGGUCUACCCCCACCCUGCCACACACACACACGCCUUUUACGGUAAGAAUCAGAGACCACCGAGUUAGGGGGAUAAUAAUGGUGUGAAUGUGAGAAAACAAACUCAUUAUCCUCUGCUUUUUUUUCCUCUCUCUUUGAGUAAUUUAAAGACAAAUUGACUCAGUGUAUUAAAAAAAUACUUUAAAUUCUGUAAUUAAAAAAAGAAAAUGUAGCCGAAUUCGGUAAUCACAGGAUACACCCGGAAAAGUAGUUUCUUGGUGUGGUAGAGUCUUAAAUAGGCUAUGAAAAAACAUCUUAAUUUAUGCAAUGUCGUUUUAUAUAAUUAGUAAUUGUAUGCUUCUGCUGUCCUGCAUGCGAUUUGUAGUGUGUCUGUGUUUGAGUGAGUGUGU